GCCCGUAUAGUAUAGUGGCAGAACACGUCCUUGGUAAGGACGAGGCGCAAGUCCGAUUCUUGCUACGGGCACCA
rnacentral:tRNA from 1 species